GGAAGUUGCAAAUCUUACAUUUUUACCUGUAAUACAAAGGUGAUUUCUGGAAUGGGCUCCCCUUCGGCUUCACAUGACUGCCAAGAGAGAGCUGAACACACAGGAG